rnacentral:rRNA from 1 species
UGCGAGUCAACGUAGCAAUACGUGGCAUACGGCUCAGUAACACGUAGUCAACAUAACCAAAGGACGUGGAUAAACUCGGGAAACUGAGGCUAAACCGCGAUAGACCAAGAUACCUGGAAUGGUUUUUGAUUGAAAUCUAUAUGGCCUUUGGAUUGGACUGCGUCCGAUCAGGCUGUUGGUGAGGUAAUGGCCCACCAAACCUAUAACCGGUACGGGCUCUGAGAGGAGGAGCCCGGAGAUGGGUACUGAGACAAGGACCCAGGCCCUAUGGGGCGCAGCAGGCGCGAAACCUCUGCAAUAGGCGAAAGCUUGACAGGGUUACUCUGAGUGACUUUCGCUAAGAAAGUCUUUUGGCACCUCUAAAAAUGGUGCAGAAUAAGGGGUGGGCAAGUCUGGUGUCAGCCGCCGCGGUAAUACCAGCACCCCGAGUGGUCGGGACGAUUAUUGGGCCUAAAGCAUCCGUAGCCGGCCUUACAAGUCCCCCGUUAAAUCCAACUGCUUAACAGAUGGGCUGCGGAGGAUACUAUAAGACUAGGAGGCAGGAGAGGCAAGCGGUACUCAGUGGGUAGGGGUAAAAUCCGUUGAUCCAUUGAAGACCACCAGUGGCGAAGGCGGCUUGCCAGAAUGCGCUCGACGGUGAGGGAUGAAAGCUGGGGGAGCAAACCGGAUUA